rnacentral:rRNA from 1 species
GAUGAACGCUGGCGGCGUGCCUAAUACAUGCAAGUCGAGCGAACAGACGAGGAGCUUGCUCCUCUGACGUUAGCGGCGGACGGGUGAGUAACACGUGGAUAACCUACCUAUAAGACUGGGAUAACUUCGGGAAACCGGAGCUAAUACCGGAUAAUAUAUUGAACCGCAUGGUUCAAUAGUGAAAGACGGUUUUGCUGUCACUUAUAGAUGGAUCCGCGCCGCAUUAGCUAGUUGGUAAGGUAACGGCUUACCACGGCAACGAUGCGUAGCCGACCUGGGAGGGGGAUCGGCCACACUGGAACUGAGACACGGUCCAGGCUCCUACGGGAGGCAGCAGUAGGGAAUCUUCCGCAAUGGGCGAAAGCCUGACGGAGCAACGCCGCGUGAGUGAUGAAGGUCUUCGGAUCGUAAAACUCUGUUAUUAGGGAAGAACAAAUGUGUAAGUAAAUAUGCACGUCUUGACGGUACCUAAUCAGAAAGCCACGGCUAACUACGUG